rnacentral:lncRNA from 10 species
AUAUAGGGGGAAAAUGACUUGUAGAUCUAUAAAUGACAGUAACAUAAGUGUUGUAAUCUAGGGUUCUCUUGUUUAAUAUGGUAUGUAAAUUGGUACAGUCAUGGAAAACAGUAUGGAGAUUCCCCCAAAAAUAAUAAUAGAACAAUUAUGUGAUCCAGCAAUCCCAUUUCUGAGUAUGUGUCCAGAGAAAUUGAAAUUGAUAUGUCAAAGAGAUAUCUGCACUCUGAUUAUUGAUUUAUUAUGAAAAUUACAAAAUCAUGUUAUAGUUUGUUAUAACAGUUCUGUGUUUCAGCUGUGGCAAGAUUAGUUACGAGUUCUAAGUAAUUUGUUUCUCCUGGUAUUGUACCAAAGUUUUUGAAUGAUUGACUUAGGGGAAAAUAAAGAGCAGGUUUAUCAUUAUCCCUAUGUCACAUAACUAUAUUUUGCAUAUCCAGAUACUUCCUUAAGUGGUAAAGAGUUAGAUAUACAGGCAGCAAGCAAACAUUUGCACCUAAUCUUGAGAUUACUAAUCAAGUAUCUUGAAAGUGGAGUAAGAGAAAAUUGUAAAACCGCUGUUUUAGACCAUGGAAUAUCCAUCUAAAACAUUAAAGCAAAGGACCCCUUGACGUUGUAUUUUAAAGAGGGAGCGAUACUGUUGAGACAUUUUUCUAAUAGAGAUUUUCUGAAGAUAGUCUGCAUCUUUGAGCCUCUGAACAAUAGAUCCCAACUGUACUACUUAUAAUACUAGAAAGAGUAGUGGAUUAGGUGUCAGAAUAUUCUUAUCUCCAGAACCAGACUAUAAGAUCCUGAAAAACAAGGACAUACAUCUUUGUGAGUGAGUGGGUAACAGAGAGUAUUAUAUUCUGCUGCUUGCUAACCUUGUGAUCUCAGUCUCUUCAUCUCUAAAUUAAUACUCAUACUUUUUUGUUAAUCUCAUAGGAAAAUUAGGUGAGACUUACAUAGGUGGAAAUGUUUUGCAUGCUGUAAAACAACACCAAUAUUUUAAUAUGAAAUAAAGUGAAAUCUAAUGUAGUAAUGAAAUAGAAACUUCAUGUCUAAAUAAAAAAAAAAAUUUUCCAGUCUUUGGAAUGAUUUGAAAAACUAUUUCCUGAACCUUUUAGUGAACACCAUUGUGGGUGACUGACUUUGCUUUUUUUUUUUUCAACUCCCCUUGAUUAUUUACAUUGAUCUCAAAGGCACUUACUGCAAAUCUGCCUCUCAAGUGUCUUACAACAGUAUCUUUUAGUUAUGUUGUAUGUGAUAUAGCACUGAUCAAAGAGAAGAAAAUAUCAGAAAUCCAAAAAUGUAAGGAAUUAAAGGAUUUUACAGUUAUUAGGACUAGCCAUGACUAGAUUUAUCAAGAAAAAGUGUUAAUCGCAAAAUUUGGUGUUUAUUUCUUAACAUUAUGCAAGAAUGAUGUUUAUCUUUGAGGUGGCAAGGGACAGUUCAUUAAAAUACUUGGACAUUUGAGCUAAAUAUGAAUGCAUAAUUUUCUAAAAUUAGGAAGGUGAU